GAUGAACGCUGGCGGCGUGCCUAAUACAUGCAAGUCGAGCGAACAGACGAGGAGCUUGCUCCUCUGACGUUAGCGGCGGACGGGUGAGUAACACGUGGAUAACCUACCUAUAAGACUGGGAUAACUUCGGGAAACCGGAGCUAAUACCGGAUAAUAUAUUGAACCGCAUGGUUCAAUAGUGAAAGACGGUUUUGCUGUCACUUAUAGAUGGAUCCGCGCCGCAUUAGCUAGUUGGUAAGGUAACGGCUUACCAAGGCAACGAUGCGUAGCCGACCUGAGAGGGUGAUCGGCCACACUGGAACGGAGACACGGUCCAGACUCCUACGGGAGGCAGCAGUAGGGAAUCUUCCGCAAUGGGCGAAAGCCUGACGGAGCAACGCCGCGUGAGUGAUGAAGGUCUUCGGAUCGUAAAACUCUGUUAUUAGGGAAGAACAAAUGUGUAAGUAACUAUGCACGUCUUGACGGUACCUAAUCAGAAAGCCCCGGCUAACUACGUG
rnacentral:rRNA from 1 species